GACGAACGCUGGCGGCGUGCUUAACACAUGCAAGUCGAACGGAAAGGCCCUGCUUUUGUGGGGUGCUCGAGUGGCGAACGGGUGAGUAACACGUGAGUAACCUGCCCUUGACUUUGGGAUAACUUCAGGAAACUGGGGCUAAUACCGGAUAGGAGCUCCUGCAGCAUGGUGGGGGUUGGAAAGUUUCGGCGGUUGGGGAUGGACUCGCGGCUUAUCAGCUUGUUGGUGGGGUAGGGGCUUACCAAGGCUUUGACGGGUAGCCGGCCUGGGAGGGUGACCGGCCACAUUGGGACUGCGAUACGGCGCAGACUCGUACGGGACGCAGUAGUGGGGAAUAUUGCGGAAUGGGCGGAAGCCUGAGGCAGCAGCGUCGCGUGCGGGAAGCCGGCCUUCGGGUUGUAAACCGCUUUCGCCUGUGACGUAGCGGGAGUGACGGUAAUGGGUAAAGAAGCACCGGCUAACUACGUG
rnacentral:rRNA from 1 species